AUUUAUUUAGCUUAAAUGUAAAGUGUGGCUCUGAAGAAGCUAAGAUGGGGACCCAAUAAAUA
rnacentral:tRNA from 1 species